rnacentral:tRNA from 1 species
GGGGGCGGACGAGUCCCGGUGGGCUUCGCGGACUUCAACUCCGUUGAGGGGCGUUAGAAGCGUCUUUGGUGGGUUCGACUCCCAUACGCCCCCGCCA